UGGCUCAGAUGGUAAAGCAUCUGCCUGCAAUGUAGGAGACCCAGGUUCAAUCCCUGG
rnacentral:tRNA from 1 species